CGGACGGGUGAGUAACGCGUAAAGAACUUGCCUCAUAGUCUGGGACAACAUUUGGAAACGGAUGCUAAUACCGGAUAUUAUGCUUUCUUCGCAUGGAGGAAGUAUGAAAGCUAUAUGCGCUAUGAGAGAGCUUUGCGUCCCAUUAGCUAGUUGGUGAGGUAACGGCCCACCAAGGCGAUGAUGGGUAGCCGGCCUGAGAGGGUGAACGGCCACAAGGGGACUGAGACACGGCCCUUACUCCUACGGGAGGCAGCGCG
rnacentral:rRNA from 1 species